UACAGAGGUCUCGAGCGUUAGGCGGAAUCACUGGGCUUAAAGCGUGUGUAGGUGGAUCGUUAAGUACCUUGUGAAAUCCCACGGCUUAACCGUGGAACUGCUUGGUAUACUGGCGGUCUUGAGCCAGCUAGGGGCUACCGGAACAAAUGGUGGAGCGGUGAAAUGCGUAGAUAUCAGGAGGAACACCAAUAGCGAAGGCAGCUCGCUGGGACGGUACUGACGCUAAGGCGCGAAAGCGUGGGGAGCAAACAGG
rnacentral:rRNA from 1 species